GCGCAGGUGGUGGAACUGGUAGACACGCAGGCCUCAGAAGCCUGUGCCCGCGAGGGCGUGAGGGUUCGAGUCCCUCCCUGCGCA
rnacentral:tRNA from 2 species